rnacentral:tRNA from 1 species
GGUUAUUGCUCAGUGGUAGAGUGCUCGCCUAGAAUGCAUGAGGCACUGGGUUUGAUCCUCAGCACCA